CUUCCAUAACUACAUUUCACAGCUAUAUAGAUUACUUUUAUUUAUUGUUUACAAAAAUAAGCAAAUGUUAUACAGGUUGUUCAAACCACAGAGGCUACAUACAGGUUUCGUUCUAUUCGUCAAACGAUACAGCGUUUUAUAAAACAUGCAGACCUGGACGCGGCGCUUUAACAUGAAAAGUGCUCAGGCCAGUAUAAAUAAAAAGCACGUGACUCUAGGAUGGCGUGUCCAAUAGACGGUGUAGGUUUAUAGAUAGUUGUGCCUUACCGUUAGGAGCUCUGUUUAAAAAAUAAAAUAAAAUAAAAAAUAGUACAGUAUGAGUAAGACGUUCACGGCACUCGCGGCUUCGUUCACACGUGAACUCUAUAGAAAAAUACUCGGAUCACUUUCGAACCACAAAACAGUCGGAGGUGAACAGAUGCGGAUGUGCGAUAGACGAUUUCAGAUCUGGAAUGAAAUUAUGGGUUUAAAUCUAAUCCCAGAUAAAGUAAGCACACUUUUAGAAUAAAAUUUUUUAUUUUCCUCUCAGGAUAAAAAAAUAAUAAUAAAAUAACGGUACUCCCCCCCCCCGGCCUUUAUUCUUCACGCAGACGUGAAAACGGUCGACCGCGUCGGCUUUACAUUCACGGGGGAGCGUGUUAAGUGCUCGAGGGAGUUUUACUCAGCCUAACCUGUUCUCGGGGGCAGAAACGACUCGAUUGGUUAAGCGUGACGAGCAACAUAACGGACAGUAGGCGGAGUCCUGGGUCCUCGGAGAUGUGCCGGAUUUCUAGCUAUAACGGGAACUCGUUCUUCGCGCCGAGAUCAUCGGUCCGACGUCAUUCUGGAUUCUUUGAAGCUGUUGACGGGAAACGAACCCGUGAGCUCAGACCUGCUCGGAAGCGAGAUACAAACCAAGAUGAGAACGUGAAUGUCUCGUGUGCUUACGGAAUUCGCAUGGUUAUCGCGAUCGCUUGAAUUAAAACGACUGCGUUUGUGACGCUGCGUCUUGUGCGUCUACGGAUCGACAUCUGUAACUAACUAACUCCUUUUAUUGGUCUAUUCUAAUCGAGAUCGAGCUACGCCUACUUCAAAUAAAUUAAACGUGGGCAGAAGUGUACUGGACCGCGAACUCAAAAGCAACAAAGUCAGUCGGCGCAGAGGAGUCGAAUUCGCUCGCUUGAAACGAUCGCGGAUAGCGACUGCGCAAAAAACUCGUCUGUUUGUUAUUAUAGCUAACUGUUGUACAGCUGUUAUUAUUGUUCACGAUAAUCUAAUGACGCGGCUAGUUUUCGGAGUUUUUGAAACGGAACAAAAAACACGGCAUGUGGGAUUUUGAAGACUUUGGAGACACUGCUGUCGCUGGCGAACAUUCUGCCCUGAGAACAGGUUUAAGUAGUCUAACCCUCCGUUAAGAGUGGGUGUGGUUAACACUGUAAGGCUUGGUCGUAGUGCAGAGAAAACACACUAUUCCAUUUUCAAUAAACAAAUAUUUGUGUGUGUGUGUGUGUGUGGGGUGAUUCUCAAUCCGACAACGUAGUGUUAAAGUACCAAAUACCACAGUCCUGGAGACAGUUACGGUGGCCAUGCAGCACAGACCGGACUGGUCCACCUUGGAAUCGGAUGGAAAAAGCUCGUCAAUAGAGCUUAGUAUAAAAUGUGCUUCCAGCUACACACUGGAUGAAAUUAGGCAUGUGCCGAAGUGGUCAUACGAUACAUCGUGAUCUUGAUCAAUAAUGUUCUCUUCAAAAUAUGGCUUUUGGAUUUGCGCACACUCAAGAUAUUGACUCUGGAAAUGACUCUGGCCAAAUUUGAGAGCGGCGUUGCAGGCGCUCCUUCUUGGAGCGGUCAAUCCCAAUACUAUCCUCGAGACAAAAGCUCUGGAUUCAUGUUCAGAUGAUACCUGAUGAACUACCCUCUUAGUGAGGGGGAAAAAGGCUUCGUAAAAGGUUCUUCAGAGGUUACUUGGUAAUUCAGGUUUCUUAGCUUGGAAAGAAGGUCCUAUUUGGGGACUUUUCUGAUAUUCUGUUAAUCUUCUACACAGAACCUAUAAGAGUUCUUCCCGAGGGAUAAACUAAGAAACCUUAAGGGUUCUGCAAGGGUUCCUUCUCCGUCACAGUGUUGCCCCAUCAGAUGGUUACCUUUGAGAGUCCCCUAAAGCUCAUUAUUCUCGAUAAUUAAGGCUUCUUAGCUUGUGAAGAGGGUCCGAUUUUGGGGUCAUCUCUGAUAGAAAAUGGAGAACCCUUAAGGGUUCUUAGUUUGUCCCUCGGGAGCAACUCAUAGGUUCGGUGGAGAAGAUUUCAAAAGGAUAUUUCUCUAAGCGUGUACCUAUGAGUGGCUGCCAGGGUUCGGUGGAGAAGAUUUCAAAAGGAUAUUUCUCUAAGCGUGUACCUAUGAGUGGCCGCCAGGGUUCCACCAGGGUUUACCAGUGUUGCCCCAUCAGAUGGUUACCUGUCGCAAGUCCCCUAGAGCUCCUUAUUCUCGAUAAUUAAGGCUUCUUAGCUUGCUUAAAAGGUUCCACUUGGAACUCCUUGUGACGGGGAAACUGUUUUCUCAUGAGGAAUAUCUGACAAACCCUUAAAAGUCCGAAAGUUUCUUAGAGUGUACCUGAGUGCCAUCUGUCACAAUGCUACCUCAUGAGAUGUUUGCCUUUGAAGGUCUCCUGAAGGUCUGUAUUUUUUGUCGUUAAGGAUUUUCAGCUCGCCGAAAAGGUUCUACUUGAAACCCCUUUUGAGAGGGACAACCAAAUAACCCUUAAAGGUCCUACAAUUCUGUUUUUUGUUUUGCUUAGCUAUCUCAAGGCCUGUCACGGUUCCUUUUCAAGAUGGGUACCUUUGAAAAUCUAAGGUUCUCAUUUCGCACACAUCGCAUGGGUCCUAUAAAUAAAGACUUCAAAGAAAGUUUAAAAACCAUCGCUACCAUACAAUCAGUCCUUCUCUGACGCAUUGUGAUGAUAUCGUGAAAGCGUGAUAAAAUGUUCAUCAUCAUGUAAUAUCGGCACACACCUAUCUCCAGGACAUGGGGGGGGGGGGGGGGGGGGGGGGGGGUAGAUUGCUUUGUUUUUUUUUUUUUUUUUUUCUUCCCAAGAACAUCUUGACUAGCACAGAUUCCUCCACAAUCUUGUAGUGUGUCCGUUUGGUCCGGUUCAGUCCAUCUGAGUGCUUUGCAUUCUGGUUUGGUGAAGAAAAAAAAAGGUGAAGAUCCAAGACUCCGAGGGACUCAUCUUCCAACAUUUCUCUGCAGGUUUUUUUUUUUUUUUUUUUUUUUUUUUUAAAGGUCCUGGAAAACCUCACAGACGUCCCUACAGGGCGACGCUCGAAACCCGGCGACGUAACGUUUUCUCGCUAGUUUGGAUCGAUGAAACGUUACAAAAAUGUUAAGUUCUUGGUGUGAAAGCAGGAGAGCCCAAACCUCAGCACGAAGUUACACCACAUUCCCAAAGUGAGGUUAGCUAAAGAGAGGAAGGGGAGGAAAGAAAAACAAAAAGAGAGAAAGAGAGAGACAGAGAGUUAGUCAUUAUUGUGCCAAUAAUGAUGAUCUUCAACGUACUGACCUGGAAAGUAAAGAAGCACACGUGACACGGAUGCGAUAAAAUGAGCCUUGUGCCACUCCUCGUCCUUAUACGACGUCACAGAAACGUUCAUUAUUUUGCUUCAGCCCGACUGUAACACGCUACUUUUUAGCAUUUCAAUAGUAGGCGGUACUCCGGGUGCUUCCGACGGUGUGGGCAAACACGCUCGGAGUAGCGCAGAGCUGAAAUAAACUCUUACAGCUCAAGGAGCUGCAGUAUGAUAGGAGCUGAACCAAAACUUCUCCUUACAGAAAGGCGGCAAAUUAGCAUCAUGAGCAAAUGAAGCAAGUCCGGGAAAAUAAACACAUCCGGGACGUAAACGCUUAGCACAGAAAGCUUUACAGCAAGGAUCAGAAUUUAAACAAUAUUGAAAAUAUUCAGCGGAUUACCAUUAAGCACGACAGCGUGCUACUUAACGUUAGCCUAGCAUGUCACCACACAACGUUAGCCUAAAGUUACGUUGCUAAUUUGCUGCAUUUCUGUACCGAACGACGUAAAACACCGUUUCUAUUGUGUCGGCGUUUUCACAAACUUUUAGUGUACGAUAUUUUGGACGAAAUGUUGCCAAGUGUUCAGUUUUCCUACGGAAAAAAAAGAAGAAAAAAAAUUCGCCAAGUCCCGAGUGAGUAACAGUUUAGCGUUAAAUUCGAACAAAUAGCAAUAAAAGUUUCAUAUCGACAGGACACACCAUGCAUGCACUCAUCACUCAAAACACUCCAUUUCGCAAACUUUUAUUGCAUGAGAUAACAAAACUACUAAAACUAAUCAUGGUGCUGUAUCAAUAGAACACUUUUCUUUUCUUUUUUUUAACAACAUCGUGAAUGUUAUUUCUCUAGCUGUAAUCAUGGGUUUGUAAUUAGAUGAAUAAAAAGUUUGGCAAAAAAAGAAGAAGAAUUCAAGUAAAACAGAAAAAAAAAAACACAACACAAACAAACAAACAAGAAAACACCAAAAACGUGCGAUUCAUUUUUUCAGAUUGCUCUCAGAGUCCUCUCUUCCCCGAGUUGGAGAUCCUGACCUGGGCGGGCUGAGGGGUGAAAAGGUUAGAAGGUCAAAAAGCGGGCGGAGACAAAGACAAGCCAAACACCCAAUGGUAAACAUUCUCUCUUUCGUUAGUCAGUACCAAAAACUGGACACGGGACGGACGGCGAAACGUGAAUGGAGCGCGUCUCGUCCGACUGGACUUGAAAGAGAGGAUGUUUGGGACGGACCGGGUUGUCCGUCUCCUGCUGAGCGUCAGCGGUCAUUGAGACCCACUUCAAACCCAUACUCGCAAUCAUGCACUCAGGAGUUACCAUGAUUCGAACCCUGCAUGCUCCCUCAGACAUUAAAUUCAUUCUCAACAUCAUCAUCAUCAUCAU
ensembl:lncRNA